GCAAGCGUUACUCGGGAAUCACUGGGCGUAAAGCGCGCGCAGGCGGCUUUGUAAGUUGGGAUGUGAAAUCCUAUGGCUCAACCCAUAGAAACUGCAUCCAAAACUACUUAGCUAGAGUCUGGGAGGGGAGGAUGGAAUUAGUGGUGUAGGGGUAAAAUCCGUAGAGAUCACUAGGAAUACCAAAAGCGAAGACGAUCUUCUGGAACAGUACUGACGCUGAGGCGCGAAAGCGUGGGGAGCAAACAGGAUUAGAUACCCUGGUAGUCCACGCCCUAAACGAUGAAUGUUAGUCGUCGGAGAGCUCGUCUCUUCGGUGAUGCAGCUAACGCAUUAAACAUUCCGCCUGGGGAGUACGGUCGCAAGAUUAAAACUCAAAGGAAUAGACGGGGACCCGCACAAGUGGUGGAGCAUGUGGUUUAAUUCGAAGAUACGCGAAGAACCUUACCUGGCCUUGACAUUGAUGGAAUCUGCUAGAGAUAGCGGAGUGCCCUUCGGGGAGCUUGAAAACAGGUGCUGCACGGCUGUCGUCAGCUCGUGUCGUGAGAUGUUGGGUUAAGUCCCGCAACGAGCGCAACCCUCGUCACUAGUUACUAACGGUUCGGCCGAGGACUCUAGUGAGACUGCCUUCGUAAGGAGGAGGAAGGUGAGGACGACGUCAAGUCAUCAUGGCCCUUACGGUCAGGGCGACACACGUGCUACAAUGGGAUGUACAAUGAGACGCAAUACCGCGAGGUGGAGCAAAUCUAUAAAACAUCUCUCAGUUCGGAUUGUAGUCUGCAACUCGACUACAUGAAGCUGGAAUCACUAGUAAUCGUAGAUCAGCCAUGCUACGGUGAAUACGUUCCCGGGUCUUGUACUCACCGCCCGUCACACCAUGGGAGUUGAUUUCACCCGAAGCGGGGAAGCAAAACGGCUGCCUCCACG
rnacentral:rRNA from 1 species